CAUGAGAUAAAAUAAUAGUGGCUAGCUAAUGUUACAGAGAGGGAAGGAAUGAAAAUACUUGAAAAAGACUAUUGAUAAGAAUGUCCUUGCUGCCCCUGGGAAGAACUGUCUCAAACCUCAAAUUACUUUGAGUUGAGAUUUAAGCUAAUGGUGAGGAAAUGGAAACAAAAAUGUUGGACAGUUUGUCAAGGUACUUAAUGGAAAAGGGCACUAAAUAAAUAGAAAUCGGCGCCUACAAAAGAAAGCAGUUGAUGAGCAGGACCCUGUGACUUAACUCCAACUCAGUGGGACAGAGUUCACAGAGCAAGCCAAGAAGCUCUGCCCUCUCUCCAUACUUUGGUGUUGAUGGAGUUCUUUGAUGCUGCCUGAGGAAUACCUAUUCCCUGGAAGUCAGCAUCUCAUCAGAACUCAAAGGUGUCCUUAUAAGAGACAGAAAAGGAAAAGACACAGAGAGAUGCAGAGAAGGAGGCCACCUGAAGACCAAGGCAGAGACUGGACUGAUGUGUCCACACACCAGAAACAUCAACCAGAAGCUGAGAGAGACCUGGAAGAGAUCUUUCUCCUGUCCUCCAGAAGAAAUUAGUGUUGGCACCUUCACUUUGGGCAUCUC